rnacentral:rRNA from 1 species
AGAGUUUGAUCCUGGCUCAGGAUGAACGCUAGCUACAGGCUUAACACAUGCAAGUCGAGGGGCAGCAUGGUCUUAGCUUGCUAAGGCCGAUGGCGACCGGCGCACGGGUGAGUAACACGUAUCCAACCUGCCGUCUACUCUUGGACAGCCUUCUGAAAGGAAGAUUAAUACAAGAUGGCAUCAUGAGUCCGCAUGUUCACAUGAUUGAAGGUAUUCCGGUAGACGAUGGGGAUGCGUUCCAUUAGAUAGUAGGCGGGGUAACGGCCCACCUAGUCUUCGAUGGAUAGGGGUUCUGAGAGGAAGGUCCCCCACAUUGGAACUGAGACACGGUCCAAACUCCUACGGGAGGCAGCAGUGAGGAAUAUUGGUCAAUGGGCGAGAGCCUGAACCAGCCAAGUAGCGUGAAGGAUGACUGCCCUAUGGGUUGUAAACUUCUUUUAUAAAGGAAUAAAGUCGGGUAUGCAUACCCGUUUGCAUGUACUUUAUGAAUAAGGAUCGGCUAACUCCGUGCCAGCAGCCGCGGUAAUACGGAGGAUCCGAGCGUUAUCCGGAUUUAUUGGGUUUAAAGGGAGCGUAGAUGGAUGUUUAAGUCAGUUGUGAAAGUUUGCGGCUCAACCGUAAAAUUGCAGUUGAUACUGGAUAUCUUGAGUGCAGUUGAGGCAGGCGGAAUUCGUGGUGUAGCGGUGAAAUGCUUAGAUAUCACGAAGAACUCCGAUUGCGAAGGCAGCCUGCUAAGCUGCAACUGACAUUGAGGCUCGAAAGUGUGGGUAUCAAACAGGAUUAGAUACCCUGGUAGUCCACACGGUAAACGAUGAAUACUCGCUGUUUGCGAUAUACAGCAAGCGGCCAAGCGAAAGCGUUAAGUAUUCCACCUGGGGAGUACGCCGGCAACGGUGAAACUCAAAGGAAUUGACGGGGGCCCGCACAAGCGGAGGAACAUGUGGUUUAAUUCGAUGAUACGCGAGGAACCUUACCCGGGCUUAAAUUGCAGAUGAAUUACGGUGAAAGCCGUAAGCCGCAAGGCAUCUGUGAAGGUGCUGCAUGGUUGUCGUCAGCUCGUGCCGUGAGGUGUCGGCUUAAGUGCCAUAACGAGCGCAACCCUUGUUGUCAGUUACUAACAGGUUCCGCUGAGGACUCUGACAAGACUGCCAUCGUAAGAUGUGAGGAAGGUGGGGCUGACGUCAAAUCAGCACGGCCCUUACGUCCGGGGCUACACACGUGUUACAAUGGGGGGUACAGAGGGCCGCUACCACGCGAGUGGAUGCCAAUCCCAAAAACCUCUCUCAGUUCGGACUGGAGUCUGCAACCCGACUCCACGAAGCUGGAUUCGCUAGUAAUCGCGCAUCAGCCACGGCGCGGUGAAUACGUUCCCGGGCCUUGUACACACCGCCCGUCAAGCCAUGGGAGCCGGGGGUACCUGAAGUGCGUAACCGCGAGGAGCGCCCUAGGGUAAAACUGGUGACUGGGGCUAAGUCGUAACAAGGUA